CGUAGGUGAACCUGCGGAAGGAUCAUUAA
rnacentral:ncRNA from 7 species